CAAAGCACUUUGAAGAGAGAGUUAAAGAGGACGUGAAACCGGUGAGGUGGAAACGGAUAGAGCCAGCGUUUUGGCCCGUAUUCAGCCGUUGCCGUCCGGCCAGCAGCAUGCGGCGCAUCGUCAAUGGGCGCACGUGUGCGCUGUGAGUCGGACGGUGGAGCGGUGCAUUUGCGGGCGCAGUGCGCCGAGACUUGUGGGUGGCCGUCCGAAGCCGUCGCUUUGAGGCCUUCGCGUUUAAUCGCGCGUUGGAACCCUAGCGGCGGUUCGGGCGUUCUGCCUGCUCGUAGAUGGGGGCCUGGCUUCGGCGAGCCCGCGUGGCUUGACGCUAGUGCUUGGGGUGGGUCCGCUUGCGGUACUCGCCUCCGGUGCUGGUGUUCUUGUUCCGGCGUUCCCCUGGCCCAAUCUCGGUGUGAAAGCUGGUCAUCUCUCCGACCCGUCUUGAAACACGGACCAAGGAGUUUAGCGUGUGCGCGAGCCAUUUGGUGUGCGAAACCAAAAGGCGCAAUGAAAGUGAAGGCGCCUUCCGGGUGCUGACAUGCGAUCCGGGGGUUCCGCACCCCGGGCGCAGCAUGGUCCCGUUGCGGCCGCUUGCGGCGUGGCGGAGACAGAGCGUACGCGCUGAGACCCGAAAGAUGGUGAACUAUUCCUGAGCAGGAUGAAGCCAGAGG
rnacentral:rRNA from 1 species